rnacentral:rRNA from 1 species
AGCGAACGCUGGCGGCAGGCUUAACACAUGCAAGUCGUACGGUCCUUCGGGAUAGUGGCGGACGGGUGAGUAACACGGGGGAACGUACCCUUAGGUGCGGAACAACACAGGGAAACUUGUGCUAAUACCGGAUAAGCCCUUCGGGGGAAAGAAUUAUUGCCUUUGGAGCGGCCCGCGUCUGAUUAGCUUGUUGGUGAGGUAAUGGCUCACCAAGGCUACGAUAAGUAGCUGGUCUGGGCGGAUGGCCAGCCACACCUGGACUGAGCCACGGCCCAGACUCCUACGGGAGGCAGCAGUGGGGAAUCUUGCUCAAUGGGCGAAAGCCUGACGCAGCCAUGCCGCGUGGAUGAUUAAGGUCUUAGGAUUGUAAAAUCCUUUCACCGGGGACGAUAAUGACGUUACCCGGAGAAGAAGCCCCGGCUAACUUCGUGCCAGCCGCCGCCGUAA